rnacentral:rRNA from 1 species
AGCAGUCGCCACGGUAACACGUAGGUGGCAAGCGUUGUCCGGAAUUAUUGGGCGUAAAGCGCGCGCAGGCGGAUAGGUCAGUCUGUCUUAAAAGUUCGGGGCUUAACCCCGUGAUGAGAUGGAAACUGCCAAUCUAGAGUAUCGGAGAGGAAAGUGGAAUUCCUAGUGUAGCGGUGAAAUGCGUAGAUAUUAGGAAGAACACCAGUGGCGAAGGCGACUUUCUGGACGAAAACUGACGCUGAGGCGCGAAAGCCAGGGGAGCGAACGGGAUUAGAUACCCGAGUAGUCCCUGUCUCUUAUACA